rnacentral:rRNA from 1 species
CGAGGAGGCGGUAGGGCAAGUCCGAGGUGGAAUCCUAUGGCUUAACCAUAGAAUUGCCUUGGAAACUGCUUUACUUGAGUCAGUGAGGGGAGGGCGGAAUUCCUGGUGUAGCGGUGAAAUGCGUAGAUAUCAGGAGGAAGGCCAGUGGCGAAGGCGGCCCUCUGGCACUGCACUGACGCUGAGGCGCGAAAGCGUGGGGAGCAAACAGGAUUAGAUACCCUGGUAGUCC